UAUACAGAGUCAGCUGAUAACCAAAACAUUAAAGGGAAGACAGGAAGUGAGAAGUUAAUUUUUAGUGAAUAAUAACAUGAAUACUGAUAAUUCAAAGUGAAGAACGGAAGAGGAAAGGAAGAGGAGGAGGAGAAGGAAGAGAAGAGAAGGAGAUACGUGAUAUACGAAGUGAUAUAAGACACUCCCCCAGGAUGGGCAUACUGCUGUCUUGCUGUGGUGGUGGUGGUGGUGGUGGUGGCGGUGGUGGUGGCAGUCCUUCCUCCAACUACAACAGCAUGUCCAGCUCAGUUGAUCCAGACACAAGACGCAGGCAGAUGGCAGAGGCAGCA